rnacentral:lncRNA from 1 species
CCCUUUCCUCCUCCUCCCUCCCACCCCUUUCCUCCUUCUCCUCAGCUUAUGUGGGCUCCAGGUCCAGCCUCAUUCCAGCCGGCACGGCCCGGAGGGCCGGCCCCACCAUGGGGAAGCGCAGUCACCUUCCACCGCUUCCCUGAAACCCCUUUUCUGCCUUAGGCCGGGCCCCACCAUGGAGAAGCGCAGUCACCUUCCACCCCUUCCCUGAAACCUCAGAAAAGAGGGCAGCAGCAAUGCAGCCUUACCUGGACGGACCUGUGCCCCAGAUAAUGUCUCCUCUGGAGGUCAUUCGAAUUCCAAAGGGAAUCACUUACAAGUUAGUUCCUGUCUCUGGAGUCCCUCCCUUCUCCCCGAAGAUCACUCAUGCCCCAUCAAAAGAACCGUCCACACUCCCCGUCUCCCCUCCCUGAUGAAGAAGGGUACAGGAGCACUGGCCUCCCGGCAGGUUCUCAGGCCAUCGCCCUCCUGCGGCCCCACCCCACGCGUGGGGAUCAUGUCUCCCCCGGCAGCGGCUGCCGCUGCCUCCCUGGACAGGCUUCCUGGCCCUCCAUCUCCGCUCUCAGCCAACUCAUUGUGCCCCUCUCUGAGCCUCGGUUUCCUCACCUCUGAAAUAAGCUCUGUGCCCAUCUCGAAGGGUAACUGAGGAGAUCAGUGAGGGAAUGUGGGUGAUGGCCUUAGCAUAGGGCUUGGCACACUGUCCUGGUUGGGACCCUCCCAGUGAAUCCCAAAGCAAGCUGACAUCUAGCUGUCAGAGAGGAGACCAUUCCUUAUAUUGUCUUAUACUUAAUUUCUUGUUUGCUGAAAAAGUAGAAGUUAGAAUUGGCAGAAGUGAAAAAUCACAGACAACUGGGGACCACAUUUCAGACCUGGUGUUAAAAUUCAACCUCUGACCUCAGGGCUUGUGCUAUCUAUGGAUUCAGACAUUGUGUAAAAAAGCAUCAUGAAACUCCCUGUUCUGUUCUGUUUCGUUCUGAUCAUUGGUGCAUGCAGCCCCCAGUCACAUACCCCUUGCUUGCUCAAUAGAUCACGACCCCCGCCCCCACAGCCCCUUUAGAGUUGUGAGCCCUUAAAAGGGACAGGAAUCACUUAUUCGGAGAGCUCGGUUUCUAGGACGUGAGUCUGCCGACGAUCCCAGCUGAAUAAAGCUCUUUCCUUCCACAAUCCAGUGUCUGAGGAAUUUUGUCUAUGACUCCUCCUGCUACAGCUGGAGGGAAACUCUCUUCCUUCCUAGCCCCAGUUGUCUCUUUGUAACUAUGAUAGUUUGCUGCCGAUGGACACGGCAAGUCUGUAUGCUGAGAUGCUGGGUUGCAGCAAAGAAGGGGUUAAUCAUAGGGUCACUAAAGAAGUUGCUGGGAGGGAACCUCAAAUCCAUCUCCCAGAGGAAUCUGGGGCUGGGGUUU